GACGAACGCUGGCGGCGUGCUUAACACAUGCAAGUCGAACGGAAAGGCCCGGCUUUUGUGGGGUGCUCGAGUGGCGAGCGGGUGUGUAACACGUGAGUAACCUGCCCUUGAAUGUGGGAUAACUUCAGGAAACUGGGGCUAAUACCGGGUAGGAUCUCCUGCUCCACGGGGGGGGUUGGAAAGUUUCGGUGGUUGGGGAUGGACUAGCGGCUUACCAGCUUGUUGGGGGGGUAGUGGCUUACCAAGGCUUUGAGGGGUAGCCGGCCUGAGAGGCUGACCGGCCACCAUGGGACUGAGAGACGGCCCAGACUCCUACGGGCGGCAGCAGUGGGGAAUAUUGCAGAAUGGGCGGACGCCUGAUGCAGCAACGCCGCGUGCGGGAUGACGGCCUUCGGGUUGUAAACCGCUUUCGCCUGUGACGAAGAGUGAGUGACGGUAAUGGGUAAAGAAGCACCGGCUAACUACGUG
rnacentral:rRNA from 1 species